rnacentral:rRNA from 1 species
UACGGGGGGGGCAAGCGUUGUUCGGAAUUACUGGGCGUAAAGGGCUCGUAGGCGGCCAACUAAGUCAGACGUGAAAUCCCCAGGCUCAACCUGGGAACUGCGUCUGAUACUGGAUGGCUUGAAUUCGGGAGAGGGAUGCGGAAUUCCAGGUGUAGCGGUGAAAUGCGUAGAUAUCUGGAGGAACACCGGUGGCGAAGGCGGCAUCCUGGACCGAGAUUGACGCUGAUGCGCGAAAGCCAGGGGAGCAAACGGG